rnacentral:rRNA from 1 species
GACGAACGCUGGCGGCGUGCCUAACACAUGCAAGUCGAACGAUGAAGUGGUGCUUGCACCGGGGAGUAGUGGCGAACGGGUGAGUAAUACGCGUGUGACCUACCUUUCUCUCUGGGAUAAGUGUGGAAAACUGGGUCUAAUACCGGACACGACCAAUCUCUGCAUGGGGUGUUGGUGGGUAGCGUUAUGUAGUGGUUUGAGUUAGGCUCACGGCCGGUCAGCUUGCUGGUGAGGUAAUGGCUUACCAAGGCCACGACGGGUAGCCGGCCUGAGCGGAGGACAGGCCACACCGGGAUGGAGCCACGACCCAGACUCGUCCGCGACGCAGCGGAGGGGAAUAGUGUACAAUGGGCGGAAGCAUAGUGCAGCGCCGCCGCGUGGGGGAUGACAGCCAUCGGGUUGUAAACCUAUGUUAGCAUAGAAGAAGCGAAAAUGACGGUAGGGGGAGAGAAAGCGCCGGCUAACUACGUG